UUAUCAUCACCCAAUUUCGAGAAUUUAAGGACCAUCUUCCAGCUUCUUACAAGAACAUUGGUCAACCUUUUCCUUCAGCUCAGCAAACUUGCAAGCAGUGUGAGCCAUGUGACAAUCCAGUAUGGGGCAUACACAGCCAGUGUGAUUCGCUCUGGAGGAUGCAGGAUAAUCACCCAAGCAGUGAACCCUGCUGCUUCUACAGAAAAAAUAGGGGGAAAAGUGCUUGUUUUCAUCUGGCCUGGGCUGCAAUGUUUUCCCUCAGAACAGAGAGAAGUUGAGAGGGCAUCUGUCUGGGUCACAAAGACAGAUCUCAGCUGUGUUUUUCAACGUGCAGCAGAGAAGUGGCUUCACGGACGUUUGACAGUGUACUCAAACUAUGUAUUUCAAUAUGUCUACUUCAAGAUUAUGUAUCUUCUAUCGGAUUAUUUACUUGUCAAGUUCGAUAUACGUGAUUAGAAAAUAACAGUACUAUCACGGUUAGUAUCAUUUUUCACUACAAAUAAGAAAAUAGCAUGUACAUAUUUUGGUUUUAGAAUAAUAGUAAUAUUUACUAUUACUAUACUGACCACUAGAUGGAGACAAGUCCUCCUCGCUUCACUCGUGAUAGUUUUCUCAUGGUUGAGUAGAAACCUGCAACGAAAGAGUCAGCUUAUUACAGUACUGGAU
rnacentral:lncRNA from 1 species